CCUACGGGUGGCUGCAGUGGGGAAUAUUGGACAAUGGGGGCAACCCUGAUCCAGCCAUGCCGCGUGUGUGAAGAAGGCCCUCGGGUUGUAAAGCACUUUCAGUGAGGAAGAACGCCUGGUGGUUAAUACCCAUCAGGAAAGACAUCACUCACAGAAGAAGCACCGGCUAACUCCGUGCCAGCAGCCGCGGUAAUACGGAGGGUGCGAGCGUUAAUCGGAAUUACUAGGCGUAAAGCGCGCGUAGGUGGCUUGAUAAGCCGGUUGUGAAAGCCCCGGGCUCAACCUGGGAACGGCAUCCGGAACUGUCAAGCUAGAGUGCAGGAGAGGAAGGUAGAAUUCCCGGUGUAGCGGUGAAAUGCGUAGAGAUCGGGAGGAAUACCAGUGGCGAAGGCGGCCUUCUGGACUGACACUGACACUGAGGUGCGAAAGCGUGGGUAGCAAACAGGAUUAGAUACCCUUGUAGUC
rnacentral:rRNA from 1 species